AGUUACAUACUUUGUAUUCGUUUCACUUCUAUCUUUUUGAAUUCGAGAAACCGCUGUAGCCCAGAAAUAAUUUCCAAAAUAGAAUUAAUAGAUGAAUAAUUUAUAUGUAAGCUACAAGUGAUACAAUCCAAGCUUCAAAAAUUUCGUUAAUAGUUGAAGGUGAACGUAAAUUUUUUUGAAGUAUAAACAAGUGUGUUUUGUUAGUUAUUAGUUUCUCCUAGACGAAAUUUUUAAAGGAAGAAGUAAUUUUAUUAAUUAUUGUUGUCUUCGCUUAUAAUGUGGUACGAAAUAUUACCAACCCUCGGUAUAUUUUCGACAUUUUUACUUCUCCCCACAGUAACUCCUUUUUUUGUUAACAUGGCCAUUCGUGGACAGCCUCACAGGAGAUCAGCCAUGGAUCCAGAAGAUAGAAAACUGACAAUGAGGGAUGAAAGACUGUCUGGACAUAUUCAUAAAUUAUAUGGCCUUGAAAAUAUUCCUGAUCCAAAAUAGAAGCAUACCUGUGUAUAUAGCAAAGUAUUCAGUUUCAUUUGUAACGUUUGAAAUAUCUGUAAUGUAAUAGUUAUUAACCCAAAACUAAAUAAAUUUAUAUUGAAACAAA